AACGCAUAUUGCGCCUGCGCCUCGGCAAAGGCAUGUCUGCCUCAGCGUCGGUUUACCCCCUCCAAUCAUUUCUUGAUUGGGAUGUGACCUUCCCUUGCUCUGGGUUGGUUGAAACGAAUGCCUGUGCCCACUACCAAACGAAGGCACAGAAAGGUAGGUCGCUUAACCAAGCGCAUCUGCCACUGUGUUCUUCGAGUGCGAGCUCUGGCGUGAGUUAGGAACGUUCCCUUCUCUUGUGAAAGAGAGAGGCGAAUCAAACAUCUGACCUGAGAUCAGGCAAGACCACCCGCUGAACUUAA
rnacentral:misc_RNA from 1 species